rnacentral:rRNA from 1 species
UACAGAGGUCUCAAGCGUUGUUCGGAUUCAUUGGGCGUAAAGGGUGCGUAGGCGGCGCGGUAAGUCGGGUGUGAAAUCUUGGAGCUUAACUCCGAAACUGCAUUCGAUACUGCCGUGCUUGAGGACUGGAGAGGAGACUGGAAUUUACGGUGUAGCGGUGAAAUGCGUAGAUAUCGUAAGGAAGACCAGUGGCGAAGGCGGGUCUCUGGACAGUUCCUGACGCUGAGGCACGAAGGCUAGGGGAGCAAACAGG